ensembl:lncRNA
UAAAGGUACACUAAUGUAUUCUGCAAAUUAUUAUUAUUUUAGAGGUGUAGCUUUCCAGGGUCACGAGUACCACAGUUUGAGAACUAUACCGCUCUUAGCAAUUAGUGUGAACAAAGUUUCAUUUCCCUAAAACAAAUAAUAGCAAGUCAAUGUAAUAUUUCCCAGCACCACAUUGUGCUUACAGUAAAUGCUCAAUGGUUUUUUGACAAAUUUGUGUACUAAGAUCUGCUACGGGUUAUUAUGCCGCAGUGUACCUUUAAAAAAAAAAUAAAAAAUAAAAUAAAUAACCCUGCCUACACACUGUCAUGUGAGAAGAGCAUUUCAUAUAUAUUUGGUUAACUAUAUCAAAUGACUUCUGAAAGGCGCUGCAGUUACAUCAUUGACUACAUUCAGAGGCUGCCUUAAUUGGGUCUGGGUGUAUUGACUGUCGUCCUCUUGCUCUCCCCUUUACCCUGGUCGAUGCUGCAGCUCGCUGUCAAAGACCGGGCUGCCUUUCUAAAUCCACACCUCAGCAUUAUGGGUCACGCACAAGGCUGCUUUUCAUCUAAGAGUCAUAAGAUAAAGACUCGGGAACAUGGAUACAAAGACACACUUGUGUCUUAUGUCUGCCCUUAGGACAUUAUUGGGUAAUGGGAUAGAGAAAGAACUGUUACUUUGAAGGGGUACUGAGGAUUAAAAAAAAUAAUAAUAAUAAAAAAUUCUGAGUGGAGACUUUUAAAAAAAUUCAUUAAGUCAUUCAUACGUACACUGGGAAAAAUUGUUGUAGAAACAAUUUUCUUUUAAAAAUUGCUCGUAAAUUUCACAAAUAAUUUCACAGAAGCAGCAAGUAAACACAUUGAAUUAAACAUGAAUUUUUUACUUACCAUGUCAAAACAUUUACCUUUAAUUAUAACUUGAAAAUAUUUUAUAACAUAUAGUGUAUAGUGGUUGUUAUUUGAAAUCACACUCCGAUCACUGAGAUCAGUCUGUUUUCACGUCUUACUGCACCUUUCCAGGUAAGAAUUCUGACUUCCCUAUUUUAAAGGAGCACAUCGUUAGAUGUAUUUGUUUAAAUUAUAUUUGUGACUUACCAGUAAUCUCAGAGUUCCCUAUAGCUAAACUAACUGAGUGCUGUGAUUACUUUGGACCAGGCACGUGCACAGGUAGGGCUCAACCUGUGCAGAGCACAUGCCCUUUUUG